AGAUUCCACAAUUCCGCACCUUCUCCCAUGCUCCAGCCACGGUAUGUGAAAAGAUCUCUUCUAUCAAGGCUCAGGAACAGUUUCUCUCUAGAGAGUGAUAUCAUCAAAAUGUUUGUAUAGGAGUUUUCUACCAUCUUUCUACUCCCCCCCCCCCCCCCAAAAUAACACCAAUUUUGAUAAUUAAGCAUGGAUAAGAGGGCCAGUGUGGAAGUCCAGGAGUCUAGCAGAGAAAUUCCAGCACACUGCUAGAGCAAAAACUCUUUAGAUUGAACUCACUGAAGAAGGAGAAAAUGAAAGAGCAUGAGUGGGUGCCUGGCUUCCCAGAUGUGCCAUAUGCUGCCAAAGAGGAGCAUUUCCUUCUUACCCCAUGCAGAAUACUGAGUAAAGGAUAUGACUCAUUGGCCAGCAAAUAACUGCAAUAGCAGCUAGGGCUGAAAAAGCAUGGAACAGUAUCAAAGAGAUGUAGAUCCUACUAACUGCUUCAUGAACUCAUCAGUAAGCCUGCCCACAAACUGCUGGGGAUGACUCAUCAAUGGAUACCCCCACAUUGAUCCACAGGUACCCCAACACACAUCUCCCCAACACAUACCUCAAACCCAGAGAUAUUUUCCUGUGCGCACCUUUGCAGGUGGUGUCUGUGAGCCUUUGUAGAAGGUUAGUGGGCAUACGCAGUAAGAAGGCCUGACAGUGGGAUUAGGAAAAAGCACACAAACUUUUGAGUUUUCUACAUUCACCUACGGAAGGCAAAUGGGAGGUUGUCAGUACCCAGCCCGGCUUUGCAGAAUUUAGAGAAGUAUUAAAAUCUCGAGUCCCCCCUACCGCCAACAGGAAACAGGAAUUGUGGGACAGGUGUAUCCAUAGAAAAGGUCAGAGAAAGUCUCAAAAUCCCUAACAGGGAAGAUGGAAGGCAUUUGUCUCCCAAAGCCAGUCAGUAAAAUCUGAAGUAGGUGAUGCCUCUUUAGAUGUGAAGACGGUAAUGCAAGGAUUCAGAAAACAAGAAAAAUCAAAGAAACACGACUCCAACAAAGGAAAA